CAAUAUUUCCUUGUUUUUACAGGAUAAUAAACACAGAAGAAGAAUUUAAAAAGGAACGAUCUUCUUUAACUGAAAGGAUUGAAGAACUAACUUUGUUUAAAGACAGAGUUGCAGGAGAUGUUGCUUCUUCAAUCAAAACAGGAACAACCGUCAACCUUAACAAUCCAGUUAGUAAACCAAGGCUAAUUGAGCUAUAUGAUGAUCUGAGGCGCAGGUGGCCGAAAAUAAAAAGUAAUCUAAAAUCAAGACAGGAAAAUCCGGACAGAACCAGAAAAGUGAUACAGACACAAUUUAAAAAAGCAAAAACUGAUAUGUUAGAAAAGAAGUGGAAAAUAGAUGAUAUUUUUGGACUGAAUAAGACCAAAACUGAGGCACCAGCUUCAAAGGUUAGGGAGUGCAGAAAGUUAACCAUUCAGAAUCUGCAAAUGGCCAUCUACAGUGACAAACAGUGGGGUUUAAAGGAUCCAACACAAGUAACAAUGCUUGAAACACUGAAGGAUGUGAUAAAUGAUUUGGAAACUGAGUGCUACAGGCUGGGCUGCCUGAUGGCUCUGAAUGAUCCUCCUCUUGAACCUGACUGGAAUGAUCCCCCCGAAACAUAUGACAAGUGGGACAUUCUCCCUAAAAAUAUCACAGAGUCUGUAAAGAACCAAGAAAAGAUUGCAUCCGUUUAUUUGUGAAAGUACUGAAUUGUCACAUUAAUGUCAGAAUGAAUAGGUUAAUUGCUUAGAUUCUUUACUCUCCUUUGUGUAAAAUGAUAGAUUAUUUGGCAGCUUCGUUGAGCUUUUUGGUAAAUUUCAACUUAAAAAUAGAAAAUAUUCAUUAUUGCCUGUACUAUGUGUUAGUUUCCUUUUGGUUGUUUCUUAAUUUCUGUACUUUCUGAUCAUAUCUGUCAGCCUAAUGCUGUUAUAAUGCUGUAGUCAAAUGUUACCAGCUACUAGUUUUACUCUGUAAGACACGUACUACUUAGACUAGAUUUACACUUUUGAUAACGCUUAUACUUAAAGUAGCUCAGCUUAUCCUAAUCAAUCUCUGUAGUUAUGUGGCCAUAGGGUUAGGCUGCUUGAGGACAUAGGAACCACGUUUCAUCAUUUAACUUUAUCCUACAUCUAUUUUCUAAUUUUAUGUUAGUUUAACUUCAGGUUUUAUUGUAUUAUCUCUGAUUUUUCUCAUCAUGGUAGCUUCAUCUGGCCUUGAGUUCUUUAGCCGUGACACCAUUCUGGAGGGAAGCAUUAGCUGUGUUACUGCAGUCAGCAACUUCCCUCAUAGAUGAUGUAGUUGGGGCUGUUUCUGAGUGCUUUGUUCGGUGCUCUCUUUCAUCUCUUUUGACAUGAAAACUGGCUUUACUGUUUCUUUACUGUUUCUUUCCUAAACACAGGCACAGAUGGAGAUAGUCUUACCCUUUCUAACAUAGAAAUAUAUAUUUAUACAUCAGUAUUUCUACGUUCCUUUUGGGUGACUGCUACUGUCUUCUUAAAAACCAUCUUAACAUCUGAAGAGAGCUG